GUCUUGUUGUUUGGCCGGGGCUGGACUUCCUCCCGCUCCAGUCUUGGGGAGAAAGACACACCUCUUCAGUGUUGAUGGAGUGCUCCACCCGUGGAAUCCUUAUGGAAUAUUUCAGAAGGGCCUGAGCCCACCAGAUGC